AUUAACAAAUAUAUCUUAUUAAAAAAUUUAUGUAUAAUUGAAUAAUUCGUUCCGUUAUUAGUUUAAUCGAUUUAAUGAAAAUUUUCUAUCGUAAAUAACGUAUAAUCGAAAAUCGAUUCUCGGUCGAUAAUCAAUAUCGCAGAGAAAUCAAUAUUACCAUCGCGGAAGCGGAAGGAACGUUACCUCCGCACGACGGAUGCGAAGAUCAGUGAUUGAAUUAAUUAUUCGGCCUCUCCAUUCUAGUCGCACGAGUUCGUUCUCUUUUCACGCUUCGAGUUCGUUGUCCGAUCGAAUGGUGAACUUGUCACGCAUUGCACUUUGAUUAAAUAAAUUAAAAUAAUCGUUGAAUCAUUUCUGUCGGUAUAUUUUGAAUACUUCAGUCAGAAGAAUCUAGAUUUUUAUUUCCGAUUAAUGCUAUUUUUAAAAUGAUAAAAGACAGUUUGACUGUUGAUGCAAAUAAUACAAUUUCAUCUUCAAAAAUUUUAUUUUUUUCUUUUUACAACCAAUUUUCAUUGGUCUGAUAUAUGCGAGUUAUAAAAUUGGAAUUUCUGAAUAAUUGAAUAUUUUUCAUUUAUUCAGAACAUCCUAUACAUAUAUGUCUACAUCAUUCAACAAUAUAAAAAAAAAAAAAGAAAGAAUGAGUUACAAAGCUCUAUUGUACAAUAAUACAAUAAUCUUUACAUUGAUAAUAACAACUAUUGUGAUUAAUUUUCAUGUUAGGUCAUUUUUGAUUUAACAAUAAAAAGAUAAAGAUAAAAAAAAAUUAGAUAAAUUUUGAUCUAUUGGUGUGAUUCAUCUUUGACUAUAUCAUUACUCUGUGAUUCAUAAUUUAAGAAUUUAUCACAUUUACUCGAAUAAUAAAUUUUUGCUGUCAUUUAUUAAUUUUUGACAAUAAUUUAUACAAAUUUUUAUAAAUAAAAUAUAAUUCAAUGCAGAAAUGUUUCUGAUAGAGUUAAAGGAAAUACAUAUGAAAUUUCGUAAGCAAUCGCGUGUUAAUCGACACAUGAAACAUGGAAUUUGAGUGAAAAAAAACAUUGAUCGAAUGACACGUUUAAACACGAUGCGCACAUUUUGUGGUAACGAUUACCGAUUAAUAAAGUGCGUCAAUUGUUUCUACUCUUCUCGUGUGAAGCAAUGUACGGGUGAUGAAUUGUAUGUAAAUUUCGACGAAAUUACGACAGGUUUGGUGGUUUGUCGAAUCCCGAUAUGCAUCGACGAGCAACUCGAUUACAUCACAUGACUAAAUAACUCGCCGCUGUUUCUAUAUAAUUAUACGUCAAUUCUAUUUUUCACUAGUGAAAUUUGUCAAUGAUAAUAUUGACAAUAUUCUAAAAACUGUUUUUAAAUUCGAAUUAUAUUUCACAACUUGUCAAUAAUCAUGUGUUAAACAAUAUACAAAAACUAGAAAUAUGUAUAUCUCAUAUUAAUAUAUAUAAUUACGCAUCUUGACUUGUUCUAUAUUGAAGAUGAAGAGAAAUAGAAACAUUUCUAUUUCAUUUAUGUCACAUUUACGUUUGUUAAUUUCUCUUAUUAAACUUUUGUCGAGACGAAAUCUCCACAGAACAAAAAUUUCACUUCUUCCAUGAGAUUCGACUUAUCAAGUUUUCUAAAUCGAUUUCAAUCGAUGAUAAGUUACGUAUGCGAAACGAUUCGAUUGUUCUAUUUCCAAAGAUUGACGCGAGACGUCGCCUGUGCUUAGUCCGUAGCCCUCUACAUUCAACAUCAGAAACGAAAAAAUUAGAUUCGCUUUUAACCGUCGCGAGUAGAUUUUCAGACAUACAUAUUCACCGUUCCGGUUCUCGCGAUCCUUCGGUUGCACAGACCGUUUCAAUCUGAACCCAUUAUCUCGCUUUCGGAGUUUUACUUUUUUUUCUUUGAAUCGAUAGCCUACAAUUCUCAAAUAUAAUCAGGCCGAAUUCGAGUUACAUUGUGAAUCAUUUUAAUUUUAAUGUGUUUUUAUGCUACAUUCAAUAUCGUUUUGUAAUAUCGAAAUCUUAUAAUGUUAAGAAUAGUGUUGAUUUUUAUGUGCGGGCUCUAAAAAGAUUUGUUUUUAUUAAAUCUUGUCAAUGGACCUUGAAUAAGAGAAAUUCCAGUAAAAAUUGAAAUCCUUUCACAAAUUGGAGAAGGGCUCGUGCAGUUGUUCAACUUCUAUUGUAUUGUGGUAUCAAAUUACGUGUCGAAUACGAAGCAGGCGCGUGCGAGGAUGCGCGUGUGAAUGCACGAAUCCGGGAGCUUGUUGAAUUGAAUGUUUUGAAAAGAAUUGCUUGAUUGGUAGAUAAUGAUGAGUAAGAGAUCAGAAAGUCAGCGAGAGAGAGAAAGAGAACCAGUGACGAAGGAUAUUAGAAUGUGCAAGAUUUAUAAUGGUGUUUCAUAAUAGCAU
rnacentral:lncRNA from 1 species